AGCGAACGCUGGCGGCAGGCUUAACACAUGCAAGUCGAACGGGCGUAGCAAUACGUCAGUGGCAGACGGGUGAGUAACGCGUGGGAACGUACCUUUUGGUUCGGAACAACCCAGGGAAACUUGGGCUAAUACCGGGAUAAGCCCUUACGGGGAAAGAUUUAUCGCCGAAAGAUCGGCCCGCGUCUGAUUAGCUAGUUGGUGUGGUAACGGCGCACCAAGGCGACGAUCAGUAGCUGGUCUGAGAGGAUGAUCAGCCACAUUGGGACUGAGACACGGCCCAAACUCCUACGGGAGGCAGCAGUGGGGAAUAUUGGACAAUGGGCGCAAGCCUGAUCCAGCCAUGCCGCGUGAGUGAUGAAGGCCCUAGGGUUGUAAAGCUCUUUUGUGCGGGAAGAUAA
rnacentral:rRNA from 1 species